GAUGAACGCUAGCGGCAGGCUUAACACAUGCAAGUCGAGGGGUAGAGUAGCAAUACUUGAGACCGGCGCACGGGUGCGUAACGCGUAUGCAAUCUACCUUUCACAAAGGAAUAGCCCAGAGAAAUUUGGAUUAAUGCCUUAUAGUAUAACGAGUUCGCAUGGAUUUGUUAUUAAAGAUUUAUCGGUGAAAGAUGAGCAUGCGUCCCAUUAGCUUGUUGGUAAGGUAACGGCUUACCAAGGCUACGAUGGGUAGGGGUCCUGAGAGGGAGAUCCCCCACACUGGUACUGAGACACGGACCAGACUCCUACGGGAGGCAGCAGUGAGGAAUAUUGGUCAAUGGGCGCAAGCCUGAACCAGCCAUGCCGCGUGCAGGAUGACGGUCCUAUGGAUUGUAAACUGCUUUUAUACAGGAAGAAACACUCGGACGUGUCCGAGCUUGACGGUACUGUAGGAAUAAGGAUCGGCUAACUCCGUGCCAGCAGCCGCGGUAAUACGGAGGAUCCAAGCGUUAUCCGGAAUCAUUGGGUUUAAAGGGUCCGUAGGCGGCUUAAUAAGUCAGUGGUGAAAUCCCUACGCUUAACGUAGGAACGGCCAUUGAUACUGUUAGGCUUGAAUUAUUAGGAAGUAACUAGAAUAUGUAGUGUAGCGGUGAAAUGCUUAGAGAUUACAUGGAAUACCAAUUGCGAAGGCAGGUUACUACUAAUGGAUUGACGCUGAUGGACGAAAGCGUGGGUAGCGAACAGGAUUAGAUACCCUGGUAGUCCACGCCGUAAACGAUGGAUACUAGCUGUUGGGAGCAAUCUCAGUGGCUAAGCGAAAGUGAUAAGUAUCCCACCUGGGGAGUACGUUCGCAAGAAUGAACUCAAGGAAUUGACGGGGCCCGCACAGCGGUGGAGCAUGUGGUUUAAUUCGAU
rnacentral:rRNA from 1 species